AGGGCACCACCAGGAGUGGAGCCUGCGGCUUAAUUCGACUCAACACGGGAAAUCUCACCAGGCCCGGACACCGUAAGGAUUGACAGAUUGAUAGCUUUUUCAUGAUUCGGUGGAUGGUGGUGCAUGGCCGUUCUUAGUUCGUGGAGCGAUUUGUCUGGUUUAUUCCGAUAACGAGCGAGACUCUAGCCUACUAAAUAGUUCGCACAUUGUCUCUGUGUGUGUGGCUUCUUAGAGGGAUUUUCGGUGUUCAGCCGCACGAAAUUGAGCAAUAACAGGUCUGUGAUGCCCUUAGAUGUCCGGGGCUGCACGCGCGCUACACUGGCAAAAUCAGCGUGCUUGUCCUUCCCCGAAAGGGGUUGGUAAACCCUUGAAAAUUUGCCGUGAUUGGGAUUGGAAAUUGCAAUUAUUUUCCAUGAACGAGGAAUUCCAAGUAAGUGCGAGUCAUCAGCUCGCGUUGAUUACGUCCCCGCCCUUUGUACACACCGCCCGUCGCUGCCCGGGACUGAGCCAUUUCGAGAA
rnacentral:rRNA from 1 species